rnacentral:snRNA from 1 species
AAAAAGGGCUUCUGCCGUGAUUGGCACAGGAGCAGCAGUAUGUGCUGUUGCUCUUGCGGAAUCGCUAUCAAGAGAUUUCGGAAGCAUAAUUUUUAACAUAGGAGCUGCUGGUGAUCACUUGUCCCGGCGCUCCG